rnacentral:miRNA from 1 species
UCAUACUUAUUUAUGCUCCUUU